AGCAGCCGCGGUAAUUCCAGCUCCAAUAGCGUAUAUUAAAGUUGUUGCAGUUAAAAAGCUCGUAGUUGAAUUUCGGGGUUAGUAGGUUGGUCGUGCCUUUGGUAUGUACUGGUCUCACUGAUUCCUCCUUCUUGAAGACUGUAAUGUCAUUAAUUUGGUGUUGCAGGGAAACAGGACUGUUACUUUGAAAAAUUAGAGUGUUUAAAGCAGGCUAACGCCUGAAUACAUUAGCAUGGAAUAAUGAAAUAGGACGUUUGAUCCUAUUUGUUGGUUUCUAGGAUUGACGUAAUGAUUAAUAGGGAUAGUUGGGGCAUUAGUAUUCAAUUGUCAGAGGUGAAAUUCUUGGAUUUAUGAAGACUAACUACUGCGAAAGCAUUUGCCAAGGAUGUUUCAUUAAUACAAGAACGAAAGUUAGGGAUACGAAGACGAUCAG
rnacentral:rRNA from 1 species